UACAGAGGGUGCAAGCGUUAAUCGGAAUUAUUGGGCGUAAAGAGCUCGUAGGCGGUUUGUCGCGUCUGUCGUGAAAGCCCACGGCUUAACCGUGGGUCUGCGGUGGAUACGGGCAGACUAGAGGCAGGUAGGGGAGAAUGGAAUUCCCGGUGUAGCGGUGAAAUGCGCAGAUAUCGGGAGGAACACCGGUGGCGAAGGCGGUUCUCUGGGCCUGUACUGACGCUGAGGAGCGAAAGCGUGGGGAGCGAACAGG
rnacentral:rRNA from 1 species